rnacentral:rRNA from 1 species
GCUACGGGUGGCUGCAGUGAGGAAUAUUGGGCAAUGGAGGCAACUCUGACCCAGCCAUGCCGCGUGAGUGAAGAAGGUUUUCGGAUUGUAAAGCUCUUUCGGCUGUGACGAUGAUGACGGUAGCAUCUAACUAAGCCCCGGCUAACUUCGUGCCAGCAGCCGCGGUCAUACGAAGGGGGCAAGCGUUGUUCGGAAUUACUGGGCGUAAAGGGAGUGUAGGCGGUUUAGUAAGAUAGUGGUGAAAUCCCAGGGCUUAACUUUGGAAUUGCCAUUAUAACUAGUAGACUAGAAUGACAGAGAGGAGAGUGGAAGACCUAGUGUAGAGGUGAAAUGCGUAGAUAUUGGGUAGAACACCAGUGGCGAAGGCGACUAUCUGGAUGUAGAUUGACGCUGAGGCGCGAAAGCAUGGGGAUCAAACAGGAUUAGAUACCCCUGUAGUC